AUUGAACGCUGGCGGCAGGCCUAACACAUGCAAGUCGAGCGAGAGGCGGACGGGUGAGUAAUGUAUCGGAAUGUGCCCGGUAGAGGGGGAUAACUACUGGAAACGGUGGCUAAUACCGCAUACUAUAGGCUCGGCCGAUAUGGGAUUAGCUAGUGGGUGGGGUAAAGGCUGACCAGGGCCACGAUCCGUAGCUGGUCUGAGAGGAUGAUCAGCGACACUGGAACUGGGACACGGCCCAGACUCCUACGGGAGGCAGCAGUGGGGAAUAUUGGACAAUGGGGGAAACCCUGAUCCAGCCAUGCCGCGUGUAUGAAGAAGGCCUUCGGGUUGUAAAGUACUUUUGGCUGGGAGGCGUUACCUGCAGAAUAAGCACCGGCUAACUCCGUGCCAGCAGCCGCGGUAAUAC
rnacentral:rRNA from 1 species